CGGGAGGUAACCCACAAUAAUAGGUUAAAGGUAAAUUUUAUUUGGUUAUUUUCUUUGUGCUUGAGAGUUGUAAAAAACUGAAAUAUUAUUGAAGCCACAUCCCUGUAACCCCAAACUUCUACCAGACAAUUCUAUCCAUACAAUGCCCUCACUCAUGUUCUUUCUUAGUUUUUCAGGAGCACGUCUGUUAGAAUCCAUUGGAAAUCUUCAAGGGACUAAGGAACAUAAAUCAGAAGCAGCAAUGGGAGUUUCAAAGUCCCCUGAGUCUCUUUCAUGUUCACAGAAUUCUGAAACUGGAUACAUAAAUAUGGCUUUUCUGAAAGAGGCACACAGCCUAAAAAAACAAGACCAAAAGUCAGAACUAUAAAAUCGCUGGUGUCUAACACUAUAAUGAUCAAACCUGCUAACUUAAAGCUUGAACGUUAAAGUGGACUAUGACAUGGAAGAUUCCAGAUUCCUCACUGUAUGUCAGCCAGGAGUCUUCAAAAUUGCUGAUAAUUCAUUAAACAGUUUCUAAAAAUGGAUUUCUCAAGUUUGUUUUAUAUCCUGAGAUGAUUUGAAUUGAUCAGUACAGUGAAGUUCGAUGAUAUAAUUAGAUUUUACUUCAGAGUAUAUAUAUGGUUAAUAUAGCAUUCUUUUCCAUUAUCAUGGGUAUUUUUAAGUGUUAUUAUUUAAAAGAAAAAAACAAUGUAAUCACAUUUAAGUAAAUACUUUUUUAAAAAACC
rnacentral:lncRNA from 1 species